UACGUAGGCAGCGAGCGUUGUUCGGAGUUACUGGGCGUAAAGGGUGUGUAGGCGGGUGUUUAAGUUUGGUGUGAAAUCUCCCGGCUCAACUGGGAGGGUGCGCCGAAUACUGAAUGACUUGGAGUGCGGGAGAGGUGAGUGGAAUUCCUGGUGUAGCGGUGAAAUGCGUAGAUAUCAGGAGGAACACCGGUGGUGUAGACGGCUCACUGGACCGUAACUGACGCUGAGACACGAAAGCGUGGGUAGCAAACAGG
rnacentral:rRNA from 1 species